UAGCAAAAGCAUUAGAGUUAUUUUUACAAGACCUUUGUGACCGUACAUACGAGAUAACUCUCCAAAGAGGAGCUAAAACCAUGAAUUCAGUGCAGCUAAAACAUUGUGUACAGAGCUACAAUGUGUUUGAUUUUCUAAGGGACAUUGUCAGUAGGGUGCCUGAUUAUGGUCAUGGUCAUUCUGAUGCUGCUGCUGAUGAUCGAGCCAUCACAAAGAGAAGCUUGAGGUGAGCCAUGGAAGCAGUAGUGGCAGGGGAAGAGGACAGGGUCGAGGACGAGGCCGUGGAUGCGGUGCUCGAACUACUGAAAGAGAGCCUGUGCAUCAUGAGACUGAAUCUGAACCCUGCACAUCCCUUCAGCAGAGCAGUAAACCUAAUAUAAACCCUGCUAUGGCGGUGGACGAUGUCUCUGAGUCAAAGGAGUUAUUGAAGGAAAAUGUCAGUGUCCUUGAUGAAUCUGAUCCGACAGUUCGAAAUUUUGACUUGAA